rnacentral:rRNA from 1 species
AUACGUAGGUGGCAAGCGUUGUCCGGAAUUACUGGGUGUAAAGGGCGUGUAGGCGGAGCGGCAAGUCAGAAGUGAAAUCUCCGGGCUUAACCCGGAAACUGCUUUUGAAACUGUCGCCCUUGAGUAUCGGAGAGGCAGGCGGAAUUCCUAGUGUAGCGGUGAAAUGCGUAGAUAUUAGGAGGAACACCAGUGGCGAAGGCGGCCUGCUGGACGACAACUGCCGCUGAGGCGCGAAAGCGUGGGGAGCAAACAGGAUUAGAUACCCUGGUAGUCCACGCCGUAAACGAUGGAUACUAGGUGUGGGGGGACUGACCCCUUCCGUGCCGCAGUAAACACAAUAAGUAUUCCACCUGGGGAGUACGGCCGCAAGGUUAAAACUCAAAUGAAUUGACGGGG